UGUCUUUCUACAUGGUGGCUUCAGGGCCACAGGAGGGCAAGAAUAGAAGCUGUGCAACCUGAAAGGCCUCAUGUAACUGAGGCUCAGGAAUCCUACAGUCACUUCUACUCAGUCGAACAAGACCAGACUAGGUUGAAGGGAAGAGAUAAAUAAACUGCUUCCUGACAGGAAGAAUGGCAGAGUCACGUUGCAAGGAGACCAGCCCACAGAAUGGGAGAGAUUCUUGUGACCAUCUUUGCAAACAAAUCAUAGAAUAUAUAAAGAGAAGAAAGUGGAAAACUAAGUGAAAACGAUCAGCAAUUUAAUGGCCAUGAAAGACUGAAUUAAAAUCUUUCAAAACUGCAUUUGCUAUACGUGCGGAAAAAUUUGUAACUAGGAAGAAAGGACAAGUGAAACACACACACAACAUGAAUUUCCAAAGAUAUUUUCCUUAAAUGCCUGGAACGCCUUUUAAAGAGGUUGGGCUACCAUGUUGAGGGCAGAGAGAGAAAUGCUCAGCUACACUCCAGCUGUUCCAGCCUUUCAGCUGAGAGUCCAGACCUGUUGGUGAAGCCAUCAUGGAUUUCCAGCUCUACUCAAGCCUCUGGAGAACUACAGCUACAGGACUGAUCCCAAGUAAUGCCUGCAGAAGGAUCACCCAGCUGAGCCCAGCCUCGAUGGCAGAAUCAAAAUUUUGAAUCAAUUUGUAUGCUGAGUGGAACAAUCCAAUGGGGAGAUAAAAAGAGCAAUACAGAUCACUGAAACAGUGAAAAAUGGAAGAAGCAUCCAGAGGAAGAAAAAUAUGAAAUCAUUAUUUAGCAAAGAAGUUACUAAAAUACUCCACUAAGAAAAUAACAGAACUUAGACAACAAUGCUGAAAUAGAGAGCAAUAAGAAAUAUUUGUCAGGUGGUGUCAUUAGGAAUUUGUAACGGAUUCAAUCUGGAGGUAAAGGCAGGAGAAAUAAUAAUGUUCAAGUUUUCAACUUAUCCAACUAAGUGGAAAUCAUAUCAUUCCCUGGACUGGAGCAAGGAAGCAUAUUAGUCCAGUUUGGAAAAUCUUAAAUUCUAGGUACAUUUUUAAAAUUAGCACUAUUAUAACUGGUAGCUAGGACAUAAAAAAAUUACUUACAAUUGACUGAAUUUGAGUAUGAUAAGUGUUUAAGCCCUGACACAAUGAUAUAGCUAUUAUUUCCUGAGAGAAGAAUUUGGAUUCUUUUGCAGGAAUUAGUUACUUCUCCUUGGGGAAAAUUCAGGAAGCAAAUAAGGUAAAUCAAGGAAUUUAGUAAUAUCCUUGAUUCAUUUGGCCCAUAUAUUUUUCAUUUGAUCUGCCCCAAACACACAUAGAGCAUCAUAAUAUUUAGAUGAAAAUCUCUGUUCUGCUCUUCACAUUAUUCCUUUGUAAAUGCAUCUUGUUUUCUUUCCAGCCAGAGAAUUAGCAGCACAGUUACCCCUGGGUAGUGCCAGUAUAUCUCCCCUGCGGUUUUGUCCAUGUAC